rnacentral:lncRNA from 1 species
GAAAAUACCCCAGCAAAUCCAGGCAAAUAUGAAGACUUAUAAAACUAGAAGAACAAAUACUGACAGACAACCUAAUUGCCAGGAUGUGGAAGAAACUGACAAUACUUAUAAGCAUCAGAAACUGCUUGUCUCCCAUGGCCUCCAACUCUGGAAACCCCCCAUUGGACAGGACCUCCAGGCCUCCAGCACCCUACCUAUCACUGCACCUCAGCCUCAUCAUGACCUCAGGCUCAGCCGCAACCCAGCUGCCCCACACCAAAAAGAGCAGGUAUUUCUGGCUUCACAUGCUUUCUAGUUUAGCCUAGACCCCGCAGGUAGGCCAUGUCAACAAAGCCAAGUUACUACCAGGGACUGAAACUGAACUCUGCAAUGCAGCAGCCAUUAGCCCCAUGUGGCUAUUAGGCACUUGAUAUGUAGCGAGUCCAAAUUGAAAUGCACCAUCAGUAUAAAAUACAUGCCAGAUCCAAGGACUUAAUAUGAAAAAAAAUUAAGUAUCUUAUUGAUAAUUUUGUCUUGACAUGUUGAAAUGGUGGUUUUUUUAAUACCCUGAGUUAAAUAACAUUAAAAUGAAUUUCCCCUAUUUGUCUUACCCUUUUAAUGUGGUUACUAGAAAAUAUGUGGUUUACAUCAUCUCUCUAUUGAGCAGAACUUUUCCAGAACCAGUUGCUGACUGGAACUAGUGGAAACAGAAUCUGGCUCUCUCGGGCCAGGGACUGGCAAAAAUUAGGUGGCUGUCAAGGCCCCAUAGAGAUGGGAUGUGCUACAUGGUAUCCCAGACGGGCUAGGCUACCAGGAAGAAAAUGUUAAGUCAGAGACCCAGCCCUACAACACCACAGAUACCUCUUCCCACAGACUAAUGGGUGGGAAGGUGGCUUUCUGAGGAAGGAGCUGGCUAUAUUGGUAAUACCUGGCAAUUUUUGUCAUUGCAGCUAUUACUGUUCAGUAUGUAGACCUGACGCAGAGGGUGGAGGGGUGCAUACAAGCAGAAAGAAGAAAGCUCCACACCC